UUAUUCACGUUAUUAAUGAAUACGUGGAUCAAAGCACCUGGCAUUCCAGUGAAGGAAAGGGUGAAAGUAUCUCGGAACUGGAGGCACGGACGCUGCCGCAGGGAGACGGUCCUGAAAUGGAAAUGCAAUUUGAUGCCCUGGAUAGAGCUGGAUGGUGAGUAUCUCUACCUGUCUCAAGCGGAGAACAUCCAGGCCUACCAGCUCUGCCCAGAUGGUACAGGUUUGCAGCAUCACCCUCAAGCUAUCUUCUCUGGCCACCAGGAGGAUGUAUGUCGCUUUGUUCUUGUCAACUCCCACAUCGUCAGUGGAGGCGGAGAUGGAAACAUUGUCCUUCACAAGAUCCAUGGCUCGUACAGUGUCAAAUUCUCUGCACAUGAACAGGAGGUGAACUGUGUGGACUUCCAAGGUGGCCUCAUUGUCAGUGGCUCCCGGGACAGAACAGCGAAGGUUUGGUCCCUGUCCGCGGGCAGAGUUGGGCAGUGUCUACAUACAGUGCAGACAGAGGAUCGAGUGUGGUCCAUUGCUAUCAGCCCAUUAUUAAGCUCUUUUGUGACGGGGACAGCCUGCUGUGGACACACCUCACCUCUGAGAAUCUGGGACCUUGAGAGUGGUCAGCUGUUGACCUGUUUAGGGACUGACUUCCACCGUGGAGCCGGAGUCCUUGAUGUCUUCUAUGAAACGCCCUCCCUUCUCCUUUCUUGUGGGUAUGACACCUACAUCCGCUACUGGGACAUACGGACCAGCACAAGGAAAUGUGUCCAGGAGUGGGAAGAGCCCCACGACAGUGCCCUGUACUGCAUCAGGAGUGAUAAGAACCACAUGAUUGCCAGCGGCUCUUCUUACUACGGCGUGGUGCGCCUCUGGGAUAAGCGGCAGACUCGGUGCCUGCAGAGCUUUCACCUGUCUUCACCCACCAGCAGCCCAGUGUACUGCCUCCGUUUCAGUACCACCCAUCUGUACGCUGCCCUGGCAUCAGCCCUGCAUGUCCUAGACUUCACGGCCCCAUGAAGGGCACCAUAGCUGCUUUGGGUCACCCCAGCUCAGCAGAGUUGACGCUUGGCUCAGGGAAUCGCAGGGCAGGAGAGCAUUUGAGGGGCAAGUUGAGCCAGGAUGCCCGGUCAGCCAUGUGUGCUGGUCAGGUUUUGAUCAGCAAAGCUCUGAGCCAUGUGAAGCAAGUCUAGGCUGUGUAUGGGGUGGACUGCUUUGGUGGGAAAGGUGCCGGGAGUGGUGCCCACCUUUCAUCUGUGCUUGCUCUCCUGACAGCUGCUCGUGUUGUCCUUCACAGCCAAGAGCAAGAAUUGAGCUAAAAGGCAGAGCCAGCCCUGCUUUCAGUGUAUGCCUCCCCAAGCUGGCCAUCAGGUCAGGCUGUGCACUUGGCAGGGCUGAAACAGUCACAUUUUGCUAAAUAAAACUCUGAAGGGAAACAAAAGAGACUCUAUGUUU